rnacentral:rRNA from 1 species
CAGUAGCCGCGGGAAUACAGAGGGUGCGAGCGUUAAUCGGAUUUACUGGGCGUAAAGCGUGUGUAGGUUGUUGUUCAAGUCAGUUGUGAAAUCCCUGGGCUCAACCUGGGAACUGCUUCUGAGACUGAACGACUAGAGUACGGUAGAGGGUGGUGGAAUUUCCGGUGUAGCGGUGAAAUGCGUAGAUAUCGGAAGGAACAUCAAUGGCGAAGGCAGCCACCUGGGCCUGUACUGACACUGAGACACGAAAGCGUGGGGAUCAAACAGGAUUAGAUACCCCGGUAGUCCCUGUCUCUUAUAC